UACGUAGGGUGCAAGCGUUGUCCGGAAUUAUUGGGCGUAAAGAGCCUGUAGGCGGUUUGUCGCGUCUGCUGUGAAAUUUCGGGGCUCAACCCCGAACUUGCAGUGGGUACGGGCAGACUAGAGUGUGGUAGGGGAGACUGGAAUUCCUGGUGUAGCGGUGAAAUGCGCAGAUAUCAGGAAGAACACCCGUGGCGAAGGCGGCUCUCUGGGACGGUACUGACGCUGAGACGCGAAAGCGUGGGGAGCGAACAGG
rnacentral:rRNA from 1 species